UUCAUGAUGAUGUAUCUGGGUGGAGACUUCCUGAGAAGAGGAUAAAGUAGAGGGGAAACACUUUGUCUGAUCACAUUUCUACAUAACGUCUGUGCUUCUCUGGGUUUAAGAUGCAGCUUCGUGGAAUCCUGACCGUCCUGUUUAUGAGUCUGUGCACAGCUCAUGGAUUAAGAUGCUUUUCAUGUAUAACCACCGACCCUAGUACCUGCACAGGCACAAUCACUUGUCCAGCUGGAUUCAACUGCUGUUCCUCCCUCACUUUGUUUGGUAUCCUCAGUAAGGGCUGUUACGUUGAUGCACUGUGUUUAUCUCCAAUGAAAUGCUGUUCAUGGGACUUGUGUAAUGCUUUCCUACAUACUGGUCCCAAUGCAAAAGAAACAGAACUGAACAAGAACAAACAGCUGAUCUGACUAAUGAAACUACACAAUAAAAAGUUAAGUCCAAAUUAUAAAGCGUGUUUACUUUAGUUUGAUGCUUUUGGUAACAUUUAUUUUUAUCAUGAUUAACAAAUGUUGAGAGGUCAGCAAAAUACAAACUGUAUUUUUUGUGCUUUAGAAAACAAAUAUUCAAAUGUCUCUUCAUUCAAAUAUUUGCUGGGAAUUAUCAGCUUCAUAUAAAAAACAUUUCACUAUUACACUAUUGAUUUACUGUCUCUUUUCAAAGUGUUGCUUGUUGUCUAUAAUGAAGUGCUAUUCAGCAGUAACGCAGGUUAGUGUGAGCGACGUUGUUUCUCUACAUUCUAUAGGUCUUGUACCACCGGUCUGACAUGAGGACAGCUUCCUGCAAGAGCCCCAUUGAUUUCAGCUGUGACAGAGGAACAUUGUUUCGUUUAACUUUAUACUCGACUGUAAAAAUUGGGAUGACAAUAAAAAACAUAAAACAUU